UGGCUCAACACUUCGUGAAUAUUCUUCGUGAGUCCCUUAAGCCCUUUUGUCCUGUACAGUUCUUCGUUUAUUUUCCUGAUAAAAUAGCGGAAAACUAAAAUCAAGAAGGAAAGUUAAAGGUUCGAAGGCGAUCAGAUAACGCCCUAGUUCCAAACAUAAACGAUGCCAGCUAACAAUUUUGUGCAGUUCCUCGGUCGCCUCCCGGGAAACUAAAGCUUUUGGACUCCA
rnacentral:rRNA from 1 species